CGUUACUGUGGGCUUUAAACGCACCGUGGCUGUACUGAUCACACGCUGCAGUUGAUUAAACAUCUUGGAUAAAAUCACCACAAAAUCAGGCCAAGCAAACAAUAAAUAGCCAUAAUGAUAAAAAGGAAGAAAAGGAUUCAUCCUACUGAGGAGGCAAAGUUAUACAUACAGUCUUCUACGGACAAGCCAGGGUUUAUAGAAAGAUUUAUCGAUAGUUGCAAAGGAAGAGGAGUAUUCGCUGCCCAGCCCAUUGAACCAGGCACCUUUGUCUUGGAGUACAGAGGUGAGCUAAUAUCUGUGGAGGAAUGCCGGUCCAGAUGUUACUCAGAGAGAGAGAGUACAUUUCUCUUUGAAUUUGAAUGGCAGAAUCGUCGGUGGUGUAUUGAUGCAUCCAAAGAGGAUAAAUCCCUUGGAAGAUUGGUUAAUGACAACCACAGAUCUCCAAACUGCACCAUGAAAAAAAUUGUGGUGAAUGGAAGACCACAUUUGUGCCUGUUUUCUGUAGUGAAAAUAGAAGUAGGGACUGAAAUUAAUUACAACUAUGGGGAUUCUAAAUCGUUAGCUUCAUAGCAUAAUUGCCUAAGUCAUAUUUGAAGGUUUUCCAAGCAAUGAUUCACAGUCUAUCAGCAAUAUUAGCAGCGCACAGUUAGACAGAUAUAACAAUUUAGCUGAAAUGUGACUUAGGCAAUUAUGCUAUGA